rnacentral:rRNA from 3 species
UAAGCCUGCGAAGGUGGCCUGUGAGGGUUGCUGGAGGUAUCAGAAGUGCGAAUGCUGACAUAAGUAACGAUAAAGCGGGUGAAAAGCCCGCUCGCCGGAAGACCAAGGGUUCCUGUCCAACGUUAAUCGGGGCAGGGUGAGUCGACCCCUAAGGCGAGGCCGAAAGGCGUAGUCGAUGGGAAACGGGUUAAUAUUCCCGUACUUGGUGUUACUGCGAAGGGGGGACGGAGAAGGCUAUGUUGGCCGGGCGACGGUUGUCCCGGUUUAAGCGUGUAGGUGUGUGUUCCAGGUAAAUCCGGUUCACUUUAACACUGAGGCGUGACGACGAGGCACUACGGUGCUGAAGCAACAAAUGCCCUGCUUCCAGGAAAAGCCUCUAAGCAUCAGGUAACAUCAAAUCGUACCCCAAACCGACACAGGUGGUCAGGUAGAGAAUACCAAGGCGCUUGAGAGAACUCGGGUGAAGGAACUAGGCAAAAUGGUGCCGUAACUUCGGGAGAAGGCACGCUGACACGUAGGUGAAGUGAUUUACUCA